GUGUAUGAGUGCGCAGUGUGUGUGCAUAAAUGCAGUGUGUGUAUGAGUGCGCAGUGUGUGUAUGAGUGCAGUGUGUGUAUGAGUGCGCAGUGUGUGUGCAUAAAUGCAGUGUGUGUAUGAGUGCGCAGUGUGUGUAUGAAUGCAGUGUGUGUAUGAAUGCAGUGUGUGUGUGAUCCAGUGUGUAUGUGUGUGUUGCAGAGCCUUGGUGGGGGGGUGGGCAUUUUUAUUAAAAAAAAUGUAAUAUUAUUUUAAUU